GCGAAGCCUGAUCCAGCAAUGCCGCGUGUGUGAAGAAGGCCUUCGGGUUGUAAAGCACUUUUGUCCGGAAAGAAAUCCUUGGCUCUAAUACAGUCGGGGGAUGACGGUACCGGAAGAAUAAGCACCGGCUAACUACGUGCCAGCAGCCGCGGUAAUACGUAGGGUGCGAGCGUUAAUCGGAAUUACUGGGCGUAAAGCGUGCGCAGGCGGUUUGCUAAGACCGAUGUGAAAUCCCCGGGCUCAACCUGGGAACUGCAUUGGUGACUGGCAGGCUAGAGUAUGGCAGAGGGGGGUAGAAUUCCACGUGUAGCAGUGAAAUGCGUAGAGAUGUGGAGGAAUACCGAUGGCGAAGGCAGCCCCCUGGGCCAAUACUGACGCUCAUGCACGAAAGCGUGGGGAGCAAACAGGAUUAGAUACCCUGGUAGUCCACGCCCUAAACGAUGUCAACUAGUUGUUGGGGAUUCAUUUCCUUAGUAACGUAGCUAACGCGUGAAGUUGACCGCCUGGGGAGUACGGUCGCAAGAUUAAAACUCAAAGGAAUUGACGGGGACCCGCACAAGCGGUGGAUGAUGUGGAUUAAUUCGAUGCAACGCGAAAAACCUUACCUACCCUUGACAUGGUCGGAAUCCUGCUGAG
rnacentral:rRNA from 1 species